GUCUGCUCAUCUUGAUUAUUUACUGCAAGAAGUUUGCAUAAAAAAACCAUCAAUCUUAUUGCUAAAUGCGACACUAAUUCCAUGAGUUGAGCUGAAUCGUACAAGAUCAAACAAUACUAGUACAAAAUAUGAAGGAUCUAGAAUCACCGGUAAGCAGGGAGAACCUAAACAAGAGAAAUUGAGAAGUUGUGACACUAUCAACACGGGACCUAUUAAUUAAAAGAACUAACAAAUUAAUCCAGAAGAGAACAAUAAUAAUGGAAUUACAACUCCAGAAUCUUCCAUUUGUUUCCUCAGAAAUAUUACAUCAAAAUCAUAUCAAAGAACCCGUAAGUCAAAUUUCAACUCCAAUU
rnacentral:misc_RNA from 1 species